rnacentral:misc_RNA from 1 species
AAUGGCCGCAGUAUUUUGACUGUGCAAAGGUAGCAUAAUCAUUAGUUUUUUAAUUAAAAGCUUGUAUGAAAGGUUGGACGAAGUAAAUUCUGUCUCUAUUUAAAUUAAAAUAGAAUUUAAUUUUUAAGUUAAAAAGCUUAAAUUUUUAUAAAAGACGAGAAGACCCUAUAGAGUUUUAUAAAUAAUAAUUUAUAUUUAUUUAAGAUUAUUUUAUUUUAUUAAUAAUUAUUUAUUUUAUUGGGGUAAUAGAAAGAUUAAUAUAAUUCUUUUUUUGUUAAACAUAGAUUAAUGAUUAAUUGAUCCAUUAUUAUUGAUUAAAAGAUUAAAUUACCUUAGGGAUAACAGCGUAAUUUUUUUAAAGAGUUCAUAUCGAUAAAAAAGUUUGCGACCUCGAUGUUGGAUUAAAGAUUAGUUUAGGUGCAGAAAUUUAAAUUUUUGGUCUGUUCGACCAUUAAAUCUUUACAUGAUCUGAGUUCAGACCGGUGUAAGCCAGGUCGGUUUCUAUCUUUAUUAUAUUAUUAUAUUUUAGUACGAAAGGACCAAAUAUAAAUUAAAAUUUUAAUUAUUUUAUUGAAUAUUAUUGUUAUUUUGGCAGAUUAGUGCAAUGAAUUUAGAAUUCAUAAAUGUAAUUUUAUUUACAGAUAAUAU